AUGGUGCGGUCGCGGGAAGCGGAGACGAUCUGUCGGUUGUCAAUGGAGAAGGCGACGGAGAGGACGUCCUUCUCGUGGCCGACGAAGCGGCGGGUGGUGACCCCGGUGGAGAGGUCCCAGAGGCGGAGCUCGCCGUCCCAGGAUCCGGAGAGCGCGAACUGGCCGUCGGAGCUGAGGACGACGUCCUGGACAAAGUGGCCGUGUCCGGUGAGGCGGCGGAAGGGGACGCCGUACUCGGAGCUGGAGUCCUGGGUGGCCUGGAUGGGGUUGGUGAGGUCCCAGACGAGCAGCGACUUGUCGCGGGAGGAGGAGACGAUGAAGGGCGAGUUGUCGAUGGGCGUCGCGAUGGCCGUGACCACGUCGUUGUGGCCGCGCAUCACACCGGCGUACACGAGGGACUCCUGCGCGCCGGCCAUGGUGGUGGGGCGGGGCGAAGCGAGCGCUAGGGUUUUGGGGGGUGCGGUGGAGGCGGCGGCGCAGGCUAGAGAUGAGAAGGAAAGCGGGCGGAGAGGGAGGAGGAGUUUAUAG
rnacentral:rRNA from 1 species